rnacentral:sRNA from 1 species
AGCACUGCCAUCUCAAUUGGAUUUGUGGGGCAGACAUUCCCGUGGACGGCCGUUUUGAAGACUAGCGGUGCCCUUUGGCGCAGUUUUGGCCAACAACUCCGCCCUGCCUCCACCCCCAGAAGACCAAAUUCAUUUCAACAGACCCUUGACUGAAAACGGCAUCUGGACAGCGUCUUCAGGAUUCUGCCGUGGGGAAUGGGGCCUGCUUCACCCCUGUCAACAAAGAGCGUCAUUCCGUGGAGCUGCAUCGUCUGUCGCAGUUCACCGACAUCCAGGCCGUGUGGACACCGGAUGCGAAAGUGCUGUGCAAUCACACGGCACAGUCGCCCAAGUUGUUUCCACAUCUGCAUAGCCAGCGGGGUGUGACACGCAGUACUCACGACGUCUGCUCGAGCACAAGCAUCUGAUGCUACUGGAGGACUAGGAGUACUACGGCGUGUAUACGGCCAGAUAAUUUUAAGUGGCGGCAGUAGUGACAAUACAACGACUGUAUAUCCGACUUCUGGCGCUGUGACGAAAGGGCUGCCCGGCGGAUCAGUUCAGCUGACAGUCAGCCGAGGGCAGCGACAAGGCUCUGAUCUGGGAUGGUACCACAUGUGACAACUGUGACAAUGCCUGUGGCCGACUGCUGCAAGCGGCCAGAAGACUUUCAGCUUUGCAUCGGCCGCCCUGCUCUGCGAUGGCUGGGAACUGUGCCGAUGGUGCGAACGAUUCGUUCGAUAUUUUUUUUGCAGGGCCACGCAUGGCCCAUACGCAUAAGGUGUACUGCUCGUCCUUCAUAGCCUCUGAAAACGGCGCGUGGUGAAGGACCGGUGAAGGCAUCUCCGCCAGAGGCGCCGGUUGAGGAAUCAGAGCCGGGGCCUGCUCCGGAGCUGAAGAAGGUACUGUCGGUUGCCAUCUCCGUGGGCGUGGUUUCGGCUGCUCCGGAGCCCGCAGCCGAGGAGCCCCCUACACAGGCCGAGGCCACUGAGGAGGCCUACUACUAGAAUUAUAUCUAUGUUUAUGUGUUCAUUGUGACGAGCAUAAAACUCCCAGUCGUAAAUAGAUAACAUGGUUUAUUGUUACCAAAGUCUACUCUACAAUUAAACAAACUUGCUAGGACAUCUAAA